rnacentral:pre_miRNA from 1 species
AAUGGCUUUCAUCCUUUGUGAAUGUCUGAGCACAGUUCACAUCGAUGGGGGUUAUUGG